rnacentral:rRNA from 1 species
GGAAUAUUGGACAAUGGGCGAAAGCCUGAUCCAGCCAUGCCGCGUGUGUGAAGAAGGUCUUCGGAUUGUAAAGCACUCUAAGUUGGGAGGAAGGGCAGUAAAUUAAUACUUUGCUGUUUUGACGUUACCGACAGAAUAAGCACCGGCUAACUCUGUGCCAGCAGCCGCGGUAAUACAGAGGGUGCAAGCGUUAAUCGGAAUUACUGGGCGUAAAGCGCGCGUAGGUGGUUUGUUAAGUUGGAUGUGAAAUCCCCGGGCUCAACCUGGGAACUGCAUCCAAAACUGGCAAGCUAGAGUAUGGUAGAGGGUGGUGGAAUUUCCUGUGUAGCGGUGAAAUGCGUAGAUAUAGGAAGGAACACCAGUGGCGAAGGCGACCACCUGGACUAAUACUGACACUGAGGUGCGAAAGCGUGGGGAGCAAACA